UAUUGCUUUUAGUGUCAGAGAUGGCAUUGCAUUCCCAGUUCUGUGUGCUCCUGUUUGGCUCCUGAACUCAGCUGGAGAAAUGUGUCAAUUUCAACUGGUGAAGUACUAAGAGAAAGCUACACAAAAGGCAGCAAGAUACAGCUUUGGAGUCCAAUCCUGGCCAACCAGAGGCAAGUACAAUAUACCUGAGGAAGUCUCCAACAGAUGAGAUGGAGUCACUCUGUCACCCAGGCUGGAGUGCAGUGGCAUGAUCUUAGCUCACUGCAAACUCCACCUCCCAGGUUCAAGUUAUUCUCCCACCUCAGCCUCACAAGUAGUUGGGACCACAGUGUGACUUUGGUCCCCAUGGUCAUAGAUGGCUUCUGGCCUCUAGUCACUGAGUACAUGGUCCAGGCAGGAAGAAGAGAGAAGAAAAAGGGUAACAGACAUGUAUCAGCCAACUGAUUCAAAGCACAAUAUGUGCUAUGGGAAAACAAUAGUUGGCUGGGUAUGGUGGCUCAUGCUUGUAAUCCCAGUGCUUUGGGAGGCUAAAGCAGGAGGACUGCUUGAGGUUAGGAGUUCAAGGCUGCAGUGAGCUAUGCUCACACCACUGCACUACAGCCUGGGUGACAGAAUUAAACCUUGUCUGAAAAGAAAUAAACCCAAAAAAUCUCACUGAUUUUUGCCUGGU
rnacentral:lncRNA from 13 species